AUUGAACGCUGGCGGCAUGCCUUACACAUGCAAGUCGAACGGCAGCAUGGAAGAGCUUGCUCUUCUGAUGGCGAGUGGCGAACGGGUGAGUAAAGCAUCGGAACGUACCGUGUAGUGGGGGAUAACGUAGCGAAAGUUACGCUAAUACCGCAUACGCACUGAGGUGGAAAGCAGGGGAUCGCAAGACCUUGCGCUAUACGAGCGGCCGAUGUCAGAUUAGCUAGUUGGUAGGGUAAAGGCCUACCAAGGCGACGAUCUGUAGCGGGUCUGAGAGGAUGAUCCGCCACACUGGGACUGAGACACGGCCCAGACUCCUACGGGAGGCAGCAGUGGGGGAAUUUUGGACAAUGGGCGAAAGCCUGAUCCAGCCAUGCCGCGUGAGUGAAGAAGGCCUCGGUUGUAAG
rnacentral:rRNA from 1 species